AGUGGGUUUUCCCGGGAAUUCCCCGGAUCCAGCGGGAUUUUUCCCUCCCCAGCCGUGGAUAACGGGUGCUUGGCCUUCGCCCUCCGCACCGGCUUCAACACCUCCCAGGGAAAGCUGCUCCGGACGAUCCUGUUUGGGGUGAAGAGGGUCACGGCCAACAACCUGGAGACCUUCAUCUUCAUCCUCUUCCUCCUCGUCUUCGCCGUCGCCGCCGCCGCCUACGUCUGGAUCCAGGGCACCAAGGAUCCCCGUCGGAACCAGCACCGCCUGUUCCUGGAAUGUGCCCUGAUCCUGACCCCAUUUUACCCCAUUUUUAACCCAUUUA